rnacentral:snoRNA from 1 species
GAUGGCAGUGAUGAUUUGCAAAAUUCAAGCUCAACAGACCAAAUCACAGGUUUUCUCCCAGGAGUUGAUUUGUAUGCGGAUUAUCCCGCUGAACCGAGCCAUC